rnacentral:lncRNA from 1 species
ACAGCGAGACGGGCGGUGGGGCGGAGCCGAGGCCCAGGAACGGAGGUGGAGGAGCAGACCCGGGCGACGCGGCCCGCGAGCGAGAGGGUCGUCCGGGUCAGUCCAGCGCAACUCGGGUCACCAGUCCCAGGGCCCUGGUCCCCUUAUUGGAUCUAUGUCUGGGUUUGCUGAAGCACCCGCUGGGCCCAGGACUGCAGAGACGCCCCUACCCAGGCUGUGCCCCGGGUGGAGGGGGACAGGGGGAACGGCUUCAUCGCGGGGUUCGGGGCAGGACAGCUCAGGACCUGCGGAGAUACUGGAUGGUGUAGGAUCCCAGGCCAAAGGUGGCGCACCCUGAGAUCAGCAGCCCAGCUCCCUGCAGCCUUGAGGAGGGCGCUGCCUGCGUCUUUGGGAGCCUCAGCUUCCCCUCCGGUUCCGGGCCUUGGAGUGCUGGUCUGCAGCUGCGGCCUGGCUCUGUGCCCGGCCUGACCCUCGUUCACACUGCACACCCCUGGAGGCAGGACAGAAAGUGUGCACAGCGAAGACCCUGACACCCUACUGGUUGAUGAUCCAAAUCCCGAGGUCCCUCUCAGAGUCCGGUGAGAUCCAGAGCCAGCUAGAGGAAGAAAGUGGCCGCGUCAGCUCCCGAAAGGCCGUCUGGGUGAGGUUGAAAGGAAAAGCCAACAGGAGUUCCCAUCGUGGGGCUUCGGAAACAAUCCGACCAGGAACCAUGAGGUUGCGGUUUCCAUCCCUGGCCUGGCUCAGUGGAUUAAGGAUCCGGUGUCUCUGUGGCUAUGGUGUAGGCCGGCAGCCGUAGCUCCCAUUCGACCAGCAGGCUCUCGGGUCCACCUCCUCUCCCCGUGGUCCUGUGCUGCCUCUUCCUACCCUGCUCCUCAGCAGCUCAGUGCAACUCUCCUGUCCCCCGCAUCCUCCCUGGUCGCACGCAGAGAGCAUCUGUGCAAAGACAACAGACGCGGCCACCCAGACCCUUUAGCUCACAGAGGAUGCCCUGAACGGACUCCCAGGGAGCCUACAGAAGACCACGGACUUGAGAAGGCACUGUGAACUGCUUGGUAGCAUCUGCAAGAUGGGGUUUGGUUUCAGGUCUGUGUCCUGCCCGCCACCCUCAGGCCCCGGUGGGCUCAGGAGGGCCUUGGGCACAGCCCGAGGGGCCUCGACCCUCAUACAGUGCAGAGCAAAGUCAGAGAUGGGUGGAGGCAGCUGCUGCUCCGGGUGGGAGCUGAUGACAUCCCGCCUGUCGUGUAGACAUUUGAGUUAACUGGCCCUGGGGUUGCCAAUAAUCUCAGUCAGGUCAAAGCCUCCACUCGGAGACGUUUGGGGCAGAAACCUGCUGAUUUACCCCUUGUUUUAACUCUUGGGGAACAAGGGGAUUGCUGACCGCUCCCACUGGCAGGGAGCAGGGAGUGGAAAGAGAACAGCCCUCGAGGGAGAGGCCAAGGAGCCCGUCUGCUCUGGCUCUGCACCGUCCAGCACAGUGGCCUCAGCCUGUCCCAACUGCGAUGUGCGAAUGUGCACAAGAAACACCUGAUUUCAAAGACGUUGAAAAAAAUGCCAAAUAUCUUUCUAAUAAUUUUAUAUUGAUUGCCUCUGGAAAUUAUGUUUUAGAUGUGUUAAGGUAAAUAAAAUAUAUUAUUAAAUUU